rnacentral:rRNA from 1 species
UGCAAGUCGAGGGGUAUAUGUCUUCGGAUAUAGAGACCGGCGCACGGGUGCGUAACGCGUAUGCAAUCUGCCUUUCACAGAGGGAUAGCCCAGAGAAAUUUGGAUUAAUACCUCAUAGUAUUAUGGAGUGGCAUCACUUUAUAAUUAAAGUCACAACGGUGAAAGAUGAGCAUGCGUCCCAUUAGCUAGUUGGUAAGGUAACGGCUUACCAAGGCAACGAUGGGUAGGGGUCCUGAGAGGGAGAUCCCCCACACUGGUACUGAGACACGGACCAGACUCCUACGGGAGGCAGCAGUGAGGAAUAUUGGACAAUGGGCGCAAGCCUGAUCCAGCCAUGCCGCGUGCAGGAUGACGGUCCUAUGGAUUGUAAACUGCUUUUGUACGAGAAGAAACACUCCUAUGUAUAGGAGCUUGACGGUAUCGUAAGAAUAAGGAUCGGCUAACUCCGUGCCAGCAGCCGCGGUAAUACGGAGGAUCCAAGCGUUAUCCGGAAUCAUUGGGUUUAAAGGGUCCGUAGGCGGUCUUGUAAGUCAGUGGUGAAAGCCCAUCGCUCAACGGUGGAACGGCCAUUGAUACUGCAGGACUUGAAUUAUUAGGAAGUAACUAGAAUAUGUAGUGUAGCGGUGAAAUGCUUAGAUAUUACAUGGAAUACCAAUUGCGAAGGCAGGUUACUACUAAUUGAUUGACGCUGAUGGACGAAAGCGUGGGGAGCGAACAGGAUUAGAUACCCUGGUAGUCCACGCCGUAAACGAUGGAUACUAGCUGUUGGGGGCAACUUCAGUGGCUAAGCGAAAGUGAUAAGUAUCCCACCUGGGGGAGUACGUUCGCAAGAAUGAAACUCAAAGGAAUUGACGGGGGGCCCGCACAAGCGGUGGAGCAUGUGGGUUUAAUUCGA